UGGGGAAUAUUGGACAAUGGGCGAAAGCCUGAUCCAGCCAUGCCGCGUGUGUGAAGAAGGUCUUCGGAUUGUAAAGCACCUUAAGUUGGGAGGAAGGGCGUUAACCUAAUACGUUGGUGUCUUGACGUUACCGACAGGAUAAGCACCGGCUAACUCUGUGCCAGCAGCCGCGGUAAUACAGAGGGUGCAAGCGUUAAUCGGAAUUACUGGGCGUAAAGCGCGCGUAGGUGGUUCGUUAAGUUGGCUGUGAAAUCCCGGGGCUCAACCUGGGAACUGCAUUGAAAACUGACGUGCUAGAUUGUAGUAGAGGAUGGUGGAAUUUCCUGUGUAGCGGUGAAAUGCGUAGAUAUACGAAGGACUCCCAGUGGCGAAGGCGACCACCUGGACUGAUACUGACACUGAGGUGCGAAAGCGUGGGGAGCAAAC
rnacentral:rRNA from 1 species